AACAAACGCUGGUGGCGUGUCUUAAGCAUGCAAGUUGAGCGGCAAGGCGGAGCAAUCGCCCUAGAGCAGCGGACUGGUGAGUAACGCGUGGGUGAUCUGCCUCUGGGAUGGGGAUAGCCACUAGAAAUAGUGGGUAAUACCGAAUGAGGUCAUAGAGUUGCGGCUCUAUGAUGAAAGGCGCUACGGCGCCACCUGGAGAUGAGCCUGCGUCCCAUUAGCUAGUUGGUGGGGUAAAGGCCUACCAAGGCGAUGAUGGGUAGCCGGCCUGAGAGGGUGUACGGCCACACUGGGACUGAGAUACGGCCCAGACUCCUACGGGAGGCAGCAGCUAAGAAUAUUCCGCAAUGGACGAAAGUCUGACGGAGCGACGCCGCGUGGAUGACGAAGGCCGAAAGGUUGUAAAAUCCUUUUGUCGAGGAAGAAUAAGCUAGGGAGGGAAUGCCCUGGUGAUGACAUGAAUCGAUGAAUAAGCCCCGGCUAACUACGUG
rnacentral:rRNA from 1 species